rnacentral:rRNA from 1 species
CAACAUGACUCUCGGCAACGGAUAUCUCGGCUCUCGCAUCGAUGAAGAACGUAGCAAAAUGCGAUACCUGGUGUGAAUUGCAGAAUCCCGUGAACCAUCGAGUUUUUGAACGCAAGUUGCGCCCGAGGCCUUUUGGUUGAGGGCACGUCUGCCUGGGCGUCACG